rfam:Hordeum vulgare subsp. vulgare, WGS project CAJW01000000 data, contig: morex_contig_1928042
GAAAUUAUCCCUCCGUCGAGAAUUACUUGUCGCACAAAUGAAUAAAAAAGGAUGUGUCUAGAACUAAAAUACAUCUAGAUACAUCCAUUCUUAUGACAAGUAAUUCUGGACAUAGGGAGUAGAAG